CUUUCAAUAAACAUUUUCGUGGUAUAUAUUUAUAGUAAAAUGGACAAUUGACGUCACAAAUAUCUGUUACUAAAUUUUUAAGGAUUUUGAUGACCAGAAAUGCAGAGGAAAUCCAUUCAUGGGAGUAGAAAAAAAAUGUUUUUGCAUUAAAAUAUAUGAUAAAAAGGUUAUUGACUGCAUGACUAUGAGUUCUUAGCGCGGUUAUGUGGACCGAGCUUGCGAGGUCUGCAUCCACGCAAAGACCACUGGUGGGCAUAUUUCCCGAUAUUCAGUCAAUAACCUAUAAAUAUUAAACUUCUUGUUCUUUUACAACUAAUGAAUAUUACUUUAAAAUGGUUAAAAAUAAAAGGAAAUAGUGAAAAUAACGAGAUGUUUCGCGCCUAAAUCGGCGCAAAACAUCUUAGGGUGAAACAGAAUCGGUGCGAAACAUCCUGGAUUCAUUGUGGGAUACCCUUCAGGUUUAAUGAAAUACUCCUAUCACAUUUGCAAAAUAGUGAUAUGGAAUAUCCAUGAGUGAUUUUUCUUCUUAAUUAUUGUUUAUUAUUGUAGUUCAGUGGACCAUCAUUAAGUUUACCGAUGAUGGUAUCAUAGCUAUUAAAAAACUGAAUGAUCUACGCAGCAAUGAGGGUCAUGAUGAGGAAGAACUAGAGGAGGGUGAUCAUUGUUUGGCAAAAUAUGAUGAUAAUGAAUACUAUGAUGCCAAGAUUCUGUUAAUUACAGAUGAUAAAGAAAAAGCACUUAGAGAGAAAAAAGUCUUCCUUGAGGUUCAAAAAGCAAAGGAGAAAAUUGACUCCACUACCAAAAAUAAGAAACAGAAAAAGUCAAAGGAGACUAGGGAACCAGAAGUACAGAAAGAAAACUCGCGCGCAAAAAAGAAGGUAGAAAAGCCUCAAGAGAAAAAGAAAGAAAGGAAGAAAGCAGAAACCAAGACUCAUGAAAAUGAUGAAGCGAAGAAAAAGAAAAAAAGAGCUUGCUGAAUUUGAAAAAAGAAAGAGGGAAGCUACGGCUGUGUCUGUUCAGGAGAGGGCAACAAAGCUAUUUGCAUCGUGUUCCAACUUAGAUGUGCAUCUCUCCAGGCAAACUGCAGUGCUGCUCCAGAGCUGGUCUUUAACCUAGCUGAGACAGAGCGGGAUUAUUACCCCAAAACACGGCCCCGUAUGAAACUGGCGAAAUAUUACACCACAGACCCAGUGAAUCCUAGCAUAAAAGAAGGGUACAAACAGUUGGCUCCAGGGACCCCAGUAGUAGUAGACGCUCUAUGGCUUCAUGGAGCACUUUCAUCAGUCCGUGGAAAGGACAGGGCAGGAUCAAAAAAGAAGCCACAAAAGCCAGAAGCCAUAAUCAAACAUCUAAUGGAUGGUUUCUUUACCAUCAAAGACCUAGUAGGAAAGGGGGAACCAGCAGGUUUUUGGACAGCCCAGUAUACACCUCCCUUAAAUUGUAUGCCGAAGUGGUUUUGAAAAUGUGCUCAGCGUCAUUUAAUUCCGCAUGGAAUGAAAAGUUGUCCUCUGCAAGAAGGACACAGAAGAGACUCGCUGCUCAAGAACCAUCCGAAGGACCAUCUGUUGGACAAUAAUUUUUAAAGGACUAUUGUCAAAUAUAAUUGUGUUGAUAUAUGUUGUAAUUAAUCCUUAGAAAAUUUCUGUUUAAUGUUUAUUUUCCUUCAGGAAACAAUCCUUCUAUAGGAGGACCACUGAUUAUAACUUUUACUGUGUGGAUUGUUUUGUUUAAUAAUUUUUUUCCUUCUGUAGAAUUAUUUGAUUUUUUGUUAAAUACCAAAUUCAUUUGGUUUUGAAAUACAUGUACUUUAUAUUUGAACUUAUAUGAUUCAUGUAUGUAUUUUUUGCUAGAAAAGUUAAAAUGACAGAAGAAAUUAUAAUUUGAAUUCCUGAAAGACUUGCAUUGUUCUAAUUCAUAUUUUAUUUGCAUAAUGAUAUAGUUCACUUGACAUACAUCUACAUUAUUUUUCAUAUUUGGAAAUUGAAAUUAUAUAUCAAAUAUUAAAGGGAUGUUGUGAUUCAAUUUUUUAAGUCUUCAGUUUGUGUAAGAAACUAAUGUAUAAUUGUUCUAUGAGUUGUUAGCUUUAACAGAUCAUACCAGGAUCAUGAUUUUUAAAAUGAGUUAUUAGUUUUAACAGAUCAUAUCAGGAUCGUGGUUUUGUUGCAAGUUGUUAAGUUUAACAGAUCAUACCAGAAUCAUGAUCCAUUUGCUCAUUUGCAUGUGAAAUUUUCCUAUA